rnacentral:rRNA from 1 species
AGGGUUUGAUCAUGGCUCAGAUUGAACGCUGGCGGUAUGCUUAACACAUGCAAGUCGAACGGAAACGAUACUAGCUUGCUAGUAGGCGUCGAGUGGCGGACGGGUGAGUAACGCGUAGGAAUCUACCUAGUAGCGGGGGAUAGCCCGGAGAAAUCCGGAUUAAUACCGCAUAAUCUCUAUGGAGAAAAGGGGCCCUCUUCUUGAAAGGUUUCGCUAUUAGAUGAGCCUGCGUAAGAUUAGCUUGUUGGUGAGGUAAAAGCUCACCAAGGCGACGAUCUUUAGCUGGUCUGAGAGGAUGAUCAGCCACACUGGGACUGAGACACGGCCCAGACCCCUACGGGAGGCAGCAGUGGGGAAUAUUGGACAAUGGGCGCAAGCCUGAUCCAGCAAUACCGCGUGUGUGAAGAAGGCCUGAGGGUUGUAAAGCACUUUCAAUUGUGAAGAAAAGUUAAAGGUUAAUACCCUUU